AAGCCGUAGCGAAAGCGAGUCUGAAUAGGGCGCUUAGUCAGAUGCUGCAGACCCGAAACGAAGUGAUCUAUCCAUGAGCAAGUUGAAGCUAGUGUAAGAACUAGUGGAGGACUGAACCCAUAGGCGUUGAAAAGCCCCGGGAUGACUUGUGGAUAGGGGUGAAAGGCCAAUCAAACUUCGUGAUAGCUGGUUCUCUCCGAAAUAUAUUUAGGUAUAGCGUUGUGUCGUAAUAUAAGGGGGUAGAGCACUGAAUGGGCUAGGGCAUACACCAAUGUACCAAACCCUAUCAAACUCCGAAUACCUUAUAUGUAAUCACAGCAGUCAGGCGGCGAGUGAUAAAAUCCGUCGUCAAGAGGGAAACAACCCAGACUACCAGCUAAGGUCCCUAAAUCUUACUUAAGUGGAAAACGAUGUGAAGUUACUUAAACAACCAGGAGGUUGGCUUAGAAGCAGCCAUCCUUUAAAGAAAGCGUAAUAGCUCACUGGUCUAGUGAUUUUGCGCGGAAAAUAUAACGGGGCUAAAGUAAGUACCGAAGCUGUAGACUUGCGCACAACUUAGAUUAUUUAAGUUUAGAAUAUGAGAAACUAAGUUAUAUGUUUAGUUAUAUUUUUACUGAUUUUUAUAGAGUAAAGAUAGAAAUAAAACUUAGUAAAAUCAGUAAAAAUAUUCUUAGACUAAAGUUAAGUAGUUUAAGUUGUGUGCAAGUGGUAGGAGAGCGUUCUAUUUGCGUCGAAGGUAUACCGGUAAGGAGUGCUGGAGCGAAUAGAAGUGAGCAUGCAGGCAUGAGUAGCGAUAAUUAAUGUGAGAAUCAUUAACGCCGUAAACCCAAGGUUUCCUACGCGAUGCUCGUCAUCGUAGGGUUAGUCGGGUCCUAAGUCGAGUCCGAAAGGGGUAGACGAUGGCAAAUUGGUUAAUAUUCCAAUACCAACAUUAGUGUGCGAUGGAAGGACGCUUAGGGCUAAGGGGGCUAGCGGAUGGAAGUGCUAGUCUAAGGUCGUAGGAGGUUAUACAGGCAAAUCCGUAUAACAAUACUCCGAGAACUGAAAGGCUUUUUGAAGUCUUCGGAUGGAUAGAAGAACCCCUGAUGCCGUCGAGCCAAGAAAAGUUUCUAAGUUUAGCUAAUGUUGCCCGUACCGUAAACCGACACAGGUGGGUGGGAUGAGUAUUCUAAGGCGCGUGGAAGAACUCUCUUUAAGGAACUCUGCAAAAUAGCACCGUAUCUUCGGUAUAAGGUGUGGUUCGCUUCGUAUUAGGAUUUACUCCGAAAGCGAAGAAACUUACAACAAAGAGUCCCUCCCGACUGUUUACCAAAAACACAGCACUCUGCUAACUCGUAAGAGGAUGUAUAGGGUGUGACGCCUGCCCGGUGCUCGAAGGUUAAUUGAUGGGGUUAGCAUUAGCGAAGCUCUUGAUCGAAGCCCGAGUAAACGGCGGCCGUAACUAUAACGGUCCUAAGGUAGCGAAAUUCCUUGUCGGUUAAAUACCGACCUGCAUGAAUGGCGUAACGAGAUGGGAGCUGUCUCAAAGAGGGAUCCAGUGAAAUUGUAGUGGAGGUGAAAAUUCCUCCUACCCGCGGCAAGACGGAGAGACCCCGUGGACCUUUACUACAGCUUGACACUGCUAUUUGGAUAAGAAUGUGCAGGAUAGGUGGGAGGCUUUGAGUAUAUGACGCCAGUUGUAUAUGAGCCAUUGUUGAGAUACCACUCUUUCUUAUUUGGGUAGCUAACCAGCUUGAGUUAUCCUCAAGUGGGACAAUGUCUGGUGGGUAGUUUGACUGGGGCGGUCGCCUCCCAAAUAAUAACGGAGGCUUACAAAGGUUGGCUCAGAACGGUUGGAAAUCGUUCGUAGAGUAUAAAGGUAUAAGCCAGCUUAACUGCAAGACAUACAAGUCAAGCAGAGACGAAAGUCGGUCUUAGUGAUCCGGUGGUUCUGUGUGGAAGGGCCAUCGCUCAAAGGAUAAAAGGUACCCCGGGGAUAACAGGCUGAUCUCCCCCAAGAGCUCACAUCGACGGGGAGGUUUGGCACCUCGAUGUCGGCUCAUCGCAUCCUGGGGCUGGAGCAGGUCCCAAGGGUAUGGCUGUUCGCCAUUUAAAGCGGUACGCGAGCUGGGUUCAGAACGUCGUGAGACAGUUCGGUCCCUAUCUGCCGUGGGCGUAAGAAGAUUGAAGAGAUUUGACCCUAGUACGAGAGGACCGGGUUGAACAAACCACUGGUGUAGCUGUUGUUCUGCCAAGAGCAUCGCAGCGUAGCUAAGUUUGGAAAGGAUAAACGCUGAAAGCAUCUAAGCGUGAAGCCAACUCUAAGAUGAAUCUUCUCUAAGCUCUCUAGAAGACUACUAGUUUGAUAGGCUGGGUGUGUAAUGGAUGAAAGUCCUUUAGCUGACCAGUACUAAUAGAGCGUUUGGCUUAUCUUUAAUAAAGCAU
rnacentral:rRNA from 1 species